rnacentral:rRNA from 1 species
UACGUAGGGUGCGAGCGUUGUCCGGAAUUAUUGGGCGUAAAGGGUGCGUAGGCGGGGCUUUAAGUCAGGGGUGAAAUCCUGGAGCUCAACUCCAGAACUGCCUUUGAUACUGAAGAUCUUGAGUUCGGGAGAGGUGAGUGGAACUGCGAGUGUAGAGGUGAAAUUCGUAGAUAUUCGCAAGAACACCAGUGGCGAAGGCGGCUCACUGGCCCGAUACUGACGCUGAGGCACGAAAGCGUGGGGAGCAAACAGG